AGAGUUUGAUCCUGGCUCAGGAUGAACGCUGGCGGCGUGCCUAAUACAUGCAAGUCGAGCGAACGGACGAGAAGCUUGCUUCUCUGAUGUUAGCGGCGGACGGGUGAGUAACACGUGGAUAACCUACCUAUAAGACUGGGAUAACUUCGGGAAACCGGAGCUAAUACCGGAUAAUAUUUUGAACCGCAUGGUUCAAAAGUGAAAGACGGUCUUGCUGUCACUUAUAGAUGGAUCCGCGCUGCAUUAGCUAGUUGGUAAGGUAACGGCUUACCAAGGCAACGAUGCAUAGCCGACCUGAGAGGGUGAUCGGCCACACUGGAACUGAGACACGGUCCAGACUCCUACGGGAGGCAGCAGUAGGGAAUCUUCCGCAAUGGGCGAAAGCCUGACGGAGCAACGCCGCGUGAGUGAUGAAGGUCUUCGGAUCGUAAAACUCUGUUAUUAGGGAAGAACAUAUGUGUAAGUAACUGUGCACAUCUUGACGGUACCUAAUCAGAAAGCCACGGCUAACUACGUGCCAGCAGCCGCGGUAAUACGUAGGUGGCAAGCGUUAUCCGGAAUUAUUGGGCGUAAAGCGCGCGUAGGCGGUUUUUUAAGUCUGAUGUGAAAGCCCACGGCUCAACCGUGGAGGGUCAUUGGAAACUGGAAAACUUGAGUGCAGAAGAGGAAAGUGGAAUUCCAUGUGUAGCGGUGAAAUGCGCAGAGAUAUGGAGGAACACCAGUGGCGAAGGCGACUUUCUGGUCUGUAACUGACGCUGAUGUGCGAAAGCGUGGGGAUCAAACAGGAUUAGAUACCCUGGUAGUCCACGCCGUAAACGAUGAGUGCUAAGUGUUAGGGGGUUUCCGCCCCUUAGUGCUGCAGCUAACGCAUUAAGCACUCCGCCUGGGGAGUACGACCGCAAGGUUGAAACUCAAAGGAAUUGACGGGGACCCGCACAAGCGGUGGAGCAUGUGGUUUAAUUCGAAGCAACGCGAAGAACCUUACCAAAUCUUGACAUCCUUUGACAACUCUAGAGAUAGAGUCUUCCCCUUCGGGGGACAAAGUGACAGGUGGUGCAUGGUUGUCGUCAGCUCGUGUCGUGAGAUGUUGGGUUAAGUCCCGCAACGAGCGCAACCCUUAAGCUUAGUUGCCAUCAUUAAGUUGGGCACUCUAAGUUGACUGCCGGUGACAAACCGGAGGAAGGUGGGGAUGACGUCAAAUCAUCAUGCCCCUUAUGAUUUGGGCUACACACGUGCUACAAUGGACAAUACAAAGGGCAGCGAAACCGCGAGGUCAAGCAAAUCCCAUAAAGUUGUUCUCAGUUCGGAUUGUAGUCUGCAACUCGACUACAUGAAGCUGGAAUCGCUAGUAAUCGUAGAUCAGCAUGCUACGGUGAAUACGUUCCCGGGUCUUGUACACACCGCCCGUCACACCACGAGAGUUUGUAACACCCGAAGCCGGUGGAGUAACCUUUUAGGAGCUAGCCGUCGAAGGUGGGACAAAUGAUUGGGGUGAAGUCGUAACAAGGUAGCCGUAUCGGAAGGUGCGGCUGGAUCACCU
rnacentral:rRNA from 1 species